GGUGUCUCAUCCAAAAAAUUAAUAACAUUGUCUUAUUGGAUCAGGAUAGCACACAGCGGUAAACAUGUUCCAUGUAAGUUGCUCUUCUCCCUUAGUGCCCAUUCGAUAAUCAUUUUGUUUUUUGUUUUUACUUUUCUACUUGAGAUGAGAUAACAGUAUAUGAGGUAAAGGGGAAGGAUGAAGAAAUGUGAAGGGAGGGAUGGGACAAAAUAAGGAAGAAUGAAUGUGAACAAAAUCUUGAAGGUGAAAAAAACUUAAAAUAAUUUUUACUUUUUGUUGCAGUCAUAUUUAGAAUAGGAAAGUGAUUGUGUAAAUCCUAAUGGAUCUAGGAAUAUCUAUUAUAUUCUUAUUAGAAGUUGCUUACCUAUUAAGAGUUGUAAUCCUAAAAGGGUAAGGUUUUUGGCCUAUCCUACUACUAUAAAUAAAGGCACAAUGGGGUGAUAUAACACACACCUCACAAUUAAAUCUCUCUAUUCUCCCUCUCGCUACCGCCGGCCCCCUCUCUAUUUAUUCCUUAGAUAGCUCAGUUAAAUAGGUAUACAACACAUUAUCAGCACACUCUUGCUAGAAGCUGAGGAAUUGACAGAUCGUAGGAGGAGGCUAUCUUCCACAAAAUUCAAAGGCUCUUCUUUGUUUUUUGCCAGUCAUGUACGCUUAAAAUAAAGGAAGAUAUUUGAAACGUCCACAAAGCAUGAAAACAUUCCCCAUGAUGCAUGAACUCCUCUAUACGAUAUAUAUUGUGUAUGUUUCAUAUAUUUGUCAAUAUAUAUAUGUUUCAUGCAUUUCGUAAUUAUAUUGCUAUGUGGAAUUAUGAGUCAAAGCAUAUACAUAAAU
rnacentral:lncRNA from 1 species